UCCAAAUUCAGAAACAGGUAGCAAGGGAGUCUGAGAUAAAGAACAAUACAGUAAAGAAGUCAACAUUCAGAGAUGCCUGAAGUGACCGAGGUUACCUAGCAACCCUAAGGCUACAUGCUACAGAUGGAAGAAGUCACUAGAAUAUCACAGACAAAACUGGUCAAAAGAUCCACCUAAUAGAACCUCUUUAUAGAAACGUGCAGGUCGUCAUCUUCAUAUUCCUCCCACCAGAACUCUAAACUGAAAGGUGAGGAAACUCAAACAGAAGUUAGACUUAUCCAGGAUCAGAUAAGGAAAUAAACCCAAAUGGAGAAAGUCACCCAUCUCAAGGUCACAGAAAUAUUUCAUAGUAGAGUAAAAAAAGAAUCUAUUCCAUUUUCCAUUGUAUUAUGCCUCCUCAGAUGGAGCUUUUCAACUUGAUUAGAGCUUUAGGAAGAUCUCCACCUGUCUGCCUCACCAACUCUGCUCUUUCAAUCAUGGUUCUCUGGCAUGGCACUAUGGAAUGUACUCUAAUGACACAUCACACCUGAACAAUAGCUCUUUUAUUUUUUAAAAAUAAAGCAAAGCUUAUUCAAUAUUCCUCCCUGAAUUGUACUAUAUGCU